CUAGUAACGGCGAGUGAAGCGGCAACAGCUCAAAUUUGAAAUCUGGCCUCACGGUCCGAAUUGUAAUUUGUAGAGGAUGUUUCUGGCGACGUGUCUUCCGAGUUCCCUGGAACGGGACGCCAUAGAGGGUGAGAGCCCCGUCCGGUCGUACACCUAGCCUCUGUGAAACUCCUUCGACGAGUCGAGUAGUUUGGGAAUGCUGCUCUAAAUGGGAGGUAUACGUCUUCUAAAGCUAAAUACCGGCCAGAGACCGAUAGCGCACAAGUAGAGUGAUCGAAAGAUGAAAAGCACUUUGAAAAGAGGGUUAAAUAGUACGUGAAAUUGCUGAAAGGGAAGCGCUUAUGACCAGACUUGGGCUCGGUGAAUCAUCCGGCGUUCUCGCCGGUGCACUUUGCCGUCCCAGGCCAGCAUCAGUUCGCGCCGGGGGAUAAAGGUUUCGGGAAUGUAGCUCCUUCGGGAGUGUUAUAGCCCGUUGCGUAAUACCCUGGCGUGGACUGAGGUCCGCGCUCUGCAAGGAUGCUGGCGUAAUGGUCAUCAGUGACCCGUCUUG
rnacentral:rRNA from 1 species